GUGGGGAAUCUUGCGCAAUGGGCGAAAGCCUGACGCAGCCAUGCCGCGUGAAUGAUGAAGGUCUUAGGAUUGUAAAAUUCUUUCACCGGGGACGAUAAUGACGGUACCCGGAGAAGAAGCUCCGGCUAACUUCGUGCCAGCAGCCGCGGUAAUACGAAGGGGGCUAGCGUUGCUCGGAAUUACUGGGCGUAAAGGGCGCGUAGGCGGACAGCUUAGUCAGAGGUGAAAGCCCAGGGCUCAACCUUGGAAUUGCCUUUGAUACUGGCUGUCUUGAGUUUGGGAGAGGGGAGUGGAACUCCGAGUGUAGAGGUGAAAUUCGUAGAUAUUCGGAAGAACACCAGUGGCGAAGGCGACUCACUGGCCCAAUACUGACGCUGAGGCGCGAAAGCGUGGGGAGCAAACAGGAUUAGAAACCCCUGUAGUCC
rnacentral:rRNA from 1 species